CAUACCUAGAAUUGCUUCAGUCGGAGAAGUGACAGGCUCGAGAUGAAGAAAUAGGCUGGAGGAACCCCCUGAGAGGCAACGGUGCUAGCAUCUCGCGUGACUCCAAGACUCAUUGGUACUUGGGCUCCCUCAGCACCUCCCCAACAUGGCCCCUCCUGGCUUCUACACCAUCUUUCAUCCAACUAGAAAACCCGGCCUACUACCUGCACACCCCCUGGGAAGACCCCUAACAGCCUAUGCUAGUUUGCUGUGGCCUCCAGGUACUAGGAUGCAGCUAGCAAUCAGCCAAGCCGGUCAGGUGUCUUUGGUUUGGAUGUGGCUGCAAAGCCAAGAGGAUAGGAUACAGGAACUCACAGACCUGGUGGAACAGCCAAAGAACAAGCUUCAGAAAGGGCGGUUUCCAGGCAGCUUUAGGGGUCCAGGGAGGAAUUGCCCCCCACCCUCCAUCACCCUGAUCAAGGCCACGGGUCAGAGAGUUCCACUGGCCCAGCUGUGUCUGGUCCCCACCAUUGGCCAGGAGAUGGAGCUCCUCAGUGGACAGGCCCCUAAUCCUGCACAAAAUGGUCAGUGGUCAAGGGCAGGCCUCCAGAGUCAGAGAGCUGUGACCAGAAGAAGGGGA
rnacentral:lncRNA from 1 species